rnacentral:rRNA from 1 species
UGGCGAACGGGUGAGUAACGCGUGAGGAACCUGCCUCAAAGAGGGGGACAACAGUUGGAAACGACUGCUAAUACCGCAUAAGCCCACGGGUCGGCAUCGACCUGAGGGAAAAGGAGCAAUCCGCUUCGAGAUGGCCUCGCGUCCGAUUAGCUAGUUGGUGAGGUAACGGCCCACCAAGGCGACGAUCGGUAGCCGGACUGAGAGGUUGAACGGCCACAUUGGGACUGAGACACGGCCCAG